rnacentral:lncRNA from 1 species
AGAAAAAGGUUUUCUAGUUUCUUCUACAUUAAAAAUAAUCCCUCCUUCUCAUAAAGCACAAUUUUACAGAGGAAAAGGGAGAUGUGAAACUAUACACAAUUCAAAUCUAAUUAAUAUAUAAUUUUUUUGUGGAAUACAGAUGGAGGGAAUACAUCACAAUACUAAAGGUGAUUAUCUUUGGAUGGUGGGAUUACAGGUGAUUAUAUAUUUUUUAUAUUUCUAUAGUUUAAAAAUAUUCCAUGAUGACCUAUAAUUACUUUUACUUAUUUUUUGAGACAAAAUCUCACCCUGUUGACCAAGGCUGGAGCGCAGUGGUGCAAUCUCGGCUUAGUGCAAUCUCGGUGUAGUCUCGACCUCACAGGCUCAAGUGAUCCUCCCACCUCAGCCUCCGGAGAAGCUGGGACUACAGCUCUUUGCCCAGCUUCCAGUGACUCCUCUGUGCCUGGAGAGAAGGGCAAGCGCCUUACUCAUGCCUUGAGGUUGCUGACCACUUCCGUCACCAGCCUCGCUCCUUCCAGACCUGCCCUGGGAGUCCCUGCCUCCUGGCCUUCACCUGCAUCACGGUCUGCACUUCUCAGAGCCCUGCCCUUCCUUGAAGAACAAAGCCUGGCCAAAUUGUGUCAGCCUUCUGGCCUGCAGUGACCCCUGCUUACAUCGUACAUAACAAUAGCUAUAACUUAUUGACAUUAACUUCAGGUCACAUAGCAAAAGUGCUCUCAUUUAAAUCUUAGGCCACCAGAGGAUCCAUAGACUAAAAUGUUAACAGCAUCUCCUGGAGUUGUGGAGUGUGGUGACCCUAUGUGAUCCUCCUGUGCCACUGAGAGAUAUAUUAUUAACCCAGUUUCACUGAUAAGAUAACUGAGGCUCAGAGAGGUCAAGUAACUUGCCCAUGGUCACACAGUGGGUCCAUGGCAGAGCUGGGAGGUGAUCCCUAGUCAGUUCCCUCCAAGUCCAGGAUUUUCUCACUCCCACAAUGGUGUCUCCCUUAAUGACUCUCACAUUCCAGCCUCUGAGGGCAGGAAGGGUAUGUUCUGAGUUGAACACACAGAGAGCACUCAAUGAUGUCUGGUGGUGAAGAUGUUAAUCAUGAGCUCAAUCAAGGUUUAUCAUUAAAUCAACAAGUCUUCCUAGUGUGUCUGGGAGCUCUGGGGCCCAGGGACAGGCCUACUGUAGUUCAGUGUUGUAUUCUGGCACCUGGUGGUUUCUGGCACAUAGCCCAUGUUCAUUAAAUGACAUGAAUUGAUUGUCCAUUCAAAUAAUAAAACAAUAAAUAAAUAAUACUAGCUAACAGGUAUGGAGUGCCUACAAGCCAGCCACCUCAGGGAGUUUCCAGGACAGUUGAGGAGAAACAUAACACUGUUGACAAGAGCUACAACGUAGGGUUUUACACCAAAACAGUGUCUACGUAAACAGUGUCUAUCAAAGAGAGAAAAAUGAUGGGCAGACACCCUGAUCCUUCCCACAGUGCUAAAGGCCAUGCCAGCCACUGUCCCCAUUACGACUUGCAUAUACUGACUGCCGAAGCACACAAACCUGAAUUUUCCGUCUGCAUCCAUCGUUCUGUCUGUUCGGAUCACAUCUGGAUACUACUGUUGCCUCUCCAGACUGGAUAACCAGUCUGCUGAGGGCCAGAAGAUGGUGAGAUGGAAACUAGUCAUGUUUACUUGGAGAAGAGAAAUGAAGACCGUCUUUAACACCUGACAGGUUGCUCUUCCCAAGAGGGGCCAGAGGGCAACAGCCAUGGUCAACAGCUCCAGGCACCCCUGAGGAAGCCUGCUCCAGCUGGCAGGGCUGUCUGGCAAGGGACCAGUCCCUCCUCUGGAGAAGUGGUGAGCCCAGUGGGCUGCCUCUCCAGCAGGAUCCUGUAGAGACCUUACUCUCUACAAUGCACACUCCACACACUUGCUCACUUGACAAACACUUAUUAUAACUGUCACCCUGGGCCCAUUCCAGGUUAGGGACAUAAGGAUGAAUAAAACAAGGUCUGUACCAGUAGAGAACAUCAGUCCUCUAGGGGAGAAAGUCAGGAAAGCCUCAUCCUGAGCCUUCGACUCCUUACUGUCCAUCCUCUAGGCUCCUGUCUCAGCUUCUGCUGAAGGCUAUUUUCUUCCUUGUAUUCUGCAGUGACCAGGCAUAUGGCAGAUAAUCAACAAAUACAGGCAUCCCUGAAGAGGGUAUCCUGGGAUAAAAGCCCCAGCUGGAUCAGUGCUAUACAGGGGCCAACUGGGGGUGGGUUCCAGGCAGGGUCAUUUGCAAGGGUCCCUCUGCCCCUUCAAGUCCUGCCAGACAGGCCUUGGCCAUGGUUUCUUCCUGCCCCUGUCCCCUGACCACAGUUGAUCUCCCCUGGCUGUUAUGAAAUGUCAAAGAAUGUCCUGCAAUCCUAAAUUCCAUAAUGAUCUUUAUCUUCUGUUCCCUCUGAGGCUCCUCAAUCUGCAGUAACAGCUGUGGUUCAGCAAGCAGUGCGGCACUCUGGAGUGCUGUUCUGAAACAGGGCCGGCGUGGGGCAGAGCUCAUCUGCUGCCCUAUCCAUUCACUGUGCUGUUCGGGGCUAGAGAAGAUUCAUGUGUGUAUAUGCUUUUUAAAAAUUGUGAAACAAUAAUUAUGCAGAAAAAUACAUAGAAUAUAUGUUCAGUUUAACAAAUAAUCAUAAAGCAAAUCUCUAUAAAACCACUGCUGCUCUGCAGUGACCCCUGCUUCCCCCUAAGUCGUGCAUAACAAUAGCUACAAUUUACUGACCAUGAACUUCAGGUCACACAGCAAAGGUGUUCUCAUUUAAUCUUUGGCCACCAGAGGCUGCAUAGACUAAAAUGUGAACAGUGUCCCCUGCAGUUGUGGAGUGUGGUGACCCUAUUGGAUCUUCUCAUGCCACUGAGGGAUAUACUGUUUUCUGUAGAGAAGUCCAGCAGAGUCACUGUCCUGGGGGGCAUCCUUCUUGAUCGCCCCCAUGCCAUGAAGGCCCAUUCCUUGCCCAGGGCUCUAGAGUCUGAGCUUCUCCAAGAGGGAAUGGAGUCUUUCGCAGAGGGGCUGUGGAGCCUCGUAAGGCUGAAUCUAACCACGAGCAGGGAUUUUGGGCAGCUGCAUAUCCCAGAUGGUUUCCCAGUGGAUCAGCUUCCUGUUGCUGCUCUAAUAAACUAACAUAAACUUAGGGGCUUAAAACAACACAAAUUUCUUUUCUUAUAGUUCCGUAGGUCAGAAGUCCAAAACAGGUCUCACUGGGCUAAACUGAAGGUGUCAGCAGGGCUGCAUUCCUUCCUGGGGGCUCUAGUAGAGAAUCUCUUUCCUUUCUUCCCCUUUCCAGCUUUUAGAGGCUGCCUGCAUUCCUUGGCCUGCGGCCCCUUCCUCCACCUUCAAAGCCAGCACUGGCUGGCCAGGUCUUUCAUAUAUUGCAAUCUCUCUGCUUCUGCUUCUGCUUCUGACCCUUCUGCCUCUCUCUUCUCCAUUUAAGAAUGCUUGUGAUUACAUUGGGCUCACCCACCCCAGUUUCUACCCAAUAAUCCAGGGUAAUCUCCCAAACUUAAAGAGAGAAAACAAUACUAGCACCCCCAAAGCACCUACGUGUUCCCCUACUAAUCACAACCCCAACCCUCCCUUCUGCAUAAGUAGACAUUUGUAAUAAUUCUGUGCUUUUUGUAGUUUGACCUCCUCUGCAUGUAUCCUUAACAAUACAGUUUUGCCAGCUGUUAAAUUUUUGCUAAAAG